CCUACGGGUGGCAGCAGUGGGGAAUAUUGCACAAUGGGGGAAACCCUGAUGCAGCGACGCCGCGUGAGUGAAGGAGUACUUCGUUAUGUAAAGCUCUAUCAGCAGGGGAGAAAAUGACGGUACCUGAGUACGACUCCCCGGCUAACUACGUGCCAACAGCCGCGGUAAUACGUAGGGUGCAAGCGUUGUCCGGAUUUAUUGGGUUAAAGGGGUGCGCAGGCGGAAGAUCAAGUCAGCGGUAAAAUUGAGAGGAUCAACCUCUUCGAGCCGUUGAAACUGGUUUUCUUGAGUGAGUGAGAAGUAGGCGGAAUGCGUGGUGUAGCGGUGAAAUGCAUAGAUAUCACGCAGAACUCCGAUUGCGAAGGCAGCAUACCGGAGCGCAACUGACGCUCAUGCACGAAAGUGUGGGUAUCGAACAGGAUUAGAUACCCCAGUAGUC
rnacentral:rRNA from 1 species